UCACUCCUCUACAAAGUCUUACUACUUUUUUGUUCAGUUCUCUCUGUUACUUCCUUCAUCUCACUCUUCUCUCUGCAACUGUAACCUUCCUCCAACAACUCUGCUUUGUUUUUCCCAUGCAUUUCUCUUCUAUAGUCUCCUCUGCUCUCCAUCCUCCUGGCCAGUUUUCCUCUCUCGAAACCAACACUGCCACAGACACCCUAUGCUUGACUCUGUCCUCUUGUCUUGAUAUUGUUUGUCCUUUGUCUUACAGACCUGCAAGAGAAAUACCCUCCUGUACCCAGCUUUCCAAAGCACUCAGCAAUCAACAGACCGAGAUCAGGACAGCCAAAAGGAAAUGAAGGAAGUCCAAAGCUCUGACAGAGCUGGCUAAGUAUCAGUCCCCUCUUGCAUCUUUUUUUUCUGCUACCAUCAAUGUUAAGUAGUAGUUCUACCAGACUAGAAUUAAAAGAACCACCAAUACACACUCCAUCUCCACUUUCACCUCCUUUCUUAACCCUCCUCCACCUCCUCCCCCAACCCCCCUGUCUGCUGAUUACUUUUUUUUUCAGGAUAGGGUGGUUUCUAUCACCAGCCAGUUGUUGCCCUCGCUGCCACCCAUUAUGCCUCCUUCCAAGCAUCUCCCAACAUUCCCCACAUUCUCUAAACUCUCCACCACUGAUAUUUCUGACCUCCUCUCCAAUCACCCCACUACCUGACCACUUGACCCUAUUCCCUCACAGUUCCUUCUGGCCCUCACCCCUCACUCAUUUCUGUAGUUACA